rnacentral:rRNA from 1 species
GGACUACAAGGGUUUCUAAUCCUGUUUGCUCCCCACGCUUUCGCGUCUCAGCGUCAGUCACGUCCCAGCGAGCUGCUUUCGCCAUUGGUGUUCUUCCUGAUAUCUACGCAUUUCACCGCUACACCAGGAGUUCCACUCGCCCCUUCCGGACUCUAGCCCGACAGUAUCCACCGGCAUUCCAAGGUUGAGCCUUGGACUUUCACAGCAGACUGAUCGGGCCGCCUACACGCUCUUUACGCCCAAUAAUUCCGGACAACGCUUGCACCCUACGUAUUACCGCGGCGGCUGGCAC